UUCCAGACUCCUACGGGAGGCAGCAGUAGGGAAUUUUGCGCAAUGGGGGAAACCCUGACGCAGCAACACCGCGUGAAUGUUAAGCCCUUCGGGGUGUAAAGUUCUGUCAAUAGGGACGAAUUUUGACUGUACCUAUAAAGGAAGCACCGGCUAACUCCGUGCCAGCAGCCGCGGUAAUACGUAGGGGGCGAGCGUUAUCCGGAUUUAUUGGGUUUAAAGGGUGCGCAGGCGGCACGGCAAGCCGGCGGUCAAAUCGCGGGGCUCAACCCCGCCCAGCCGUCGGAACUGCCGGGCUAGAGUGGGCGAGAAGUGCGCGGAAUGCGUGGUGUAGCGGUGAAAUGCAUAGAUAUCACGCAGAACUCCGAUUGCGAAGGCAGCGCACCGGCGCCCUACUGACGCUCAGGCACGAAAGCGUGGGUAUCGAACAGGAUUAGAUACCCCAGUAU
rnacentral:rRNA from 1 species